rnacentral:rRNA from 1 species
UACGUAGGGUGCGAGCGUUAAUCGGAAUUACUGGGCGUAAAGCGUGCGCAGGCGGUUUUGUAAGCCAGAUGUGAAAUCCCCGGGCUUAACCUGGGAAUGGCAUUUGGGACUGCAGGGCUGGAGUACGGCAGAGGAGACUGGAAUUCCUGGUGUAGCAGUGAAAUGCGUAGAGAUCAGGAGGAAUACCGAUGGCGAAGGCAGGUCUCUGGGCUGAUACUGACGCUCAUGCACGAAAGCGUGGGGAGCAAACAGG